AAAGGUCUGUCGUGAGGGAAGAAAAAGACCGAGAAUAAUACGUUCCGGUAAUUGACGGUACCUCACAAGCAAGCUCCGGCUAACUUCGUGCCAGCAGCCGCGGUAAUACGAGGGGAGCACGCGUUGUCCGAAAUACCUGGGCGUAAAGGGUACGUAGGCUUUUCUGUAUGUUUCCGGUGAAAUUCACAGGCUCAACUUGUGACUUUCCGGGAAUAACUGCAGAGAUUGACUCCGGAAUGGGAAAGCGGAAUUCCUGGUGUAGCGGUGAAAUGCGUAGAUAUCAGGAGGAACACCAGUGGCGAAGGCGGCUUUCUGGUCCGGAAUUGACGCUGAGGUACUAAAGCGUGGGUAGCAAACAGGAUUAGAUACCCUGGUAGUCCACGCCCUUAACGAUGGAUACUUGAUGUCGGGAUGUUCGGUCGUCUCGGUGUCGUAGCUAACGUGUUAAGUAUCCCGCCUGGGGACUACGGUCGCAAGACUGAAACUCAAAGGAAUUGACGGGGGCCCGCACCAGCGGUGGAACAUGUGGUUUAAUUCGAUGCAACGCGAAGAACCUUACCUGGGCUUGACAUAUAUAUGAAGUAUGUAAGAAAUUAUGUAUUCUGUCUGUUUUUUCAGACAGCAUAUAUACAGGUGAUGCAUGGCUGUCGUCAGCUCGUGUCGUGAGAUGUAGGGUUAAGUCCCUUAACGAGCGCAACCCUUGCUUUUAGUUGCCAUCAGGUAAUGCUGGGGACUCUAGAAGGACUGCCGAGGUUAACUCGGAGGAAGGUGGGGAUGACGUCAAGUCAGUAUGUCCCUUAUGUCCAGGGCUACACACGUGUUACAAUGGACGGUACAGAGUGCAGCUACGCCGUGAGGCUACGCAAAUCACUUAAAGCCGUUCCCAGUUCGGAUUGGAGUCUGCAAUUCGACUCCAUGAAGU
rnacentral:rRNA from 1 species